rnacentral:rRNA from 1 species
GACGAACGCUGGCGGCGUGCUUAACACAUGCAAGUCGAACGGAAAGGCCCUGCUUUUGUGGGUUGCUCGAGUGGCGAACGGGUGAGUAACACGUGAGUAACCUGCCCUUGACUUUGGGAUAACUUCAGGAAACUGGGGCUAAUACCGGAUAUGAGCUCCUGCUGCAUGUUGUGGGUUGGAAAGUUUCGGCGGUUGGGUCUGGACUCGCGGCUUCUCCGCUUGUUGGUGGGGUAGUGGCUUACCAAGGCUUUGACGGGUAGCCUGCCUGAGAGGGUGAACGGCCACAAUGGGACUGAGAGACGGCCCAGACUCCUACGGGAGGCAGCAGUGGGGAAUAUUGCACAAUGGGCGGAAGCCUGAUGCAGCAACGCCGCGUGCGGGAUGACGGCCUUCGGGGUGUAAACCGCUUUCGCAUGUGACGAAGAGGGAGUGACGGUAAUGGGUAAAGAAGCACCGGCUAACUACGUG